CGCCUUCUGGGGAGACCCGCUGCACCAGAAACAGACGCUUGGAGGAUGGAAGGAUCGUGAGAUCUCCGAGCCCAGCGCCGAAAGCCCGAAGUCCCUUCCGUUUGGCGGCGCGGAGCUUGCGCUCUGCUUUGGAGAUCUGUCCUUGCUGCUUUGUGUGCGGGUGUUUCUUAUGAACUGCAGAAGCUGGAAAGCUAACACGACACUUCCCAGAUGCCGUGGAGCUAGGAAUCUGUGACCUAGGCUCUGCUCUUGUGCAAGACAUAAAUUUGGAACAGAGCUGAAUAGCACGGGACAUCCGUUUUGCUGUCACCGAUCAUGACAGAUGCAGUGGGGCUCUGUGAUGGACACCUAGGUUGCCUCCAACUUCCUGCCACUACAAAUAACGCUGUGGUGAACAUCCUUGUACAUAGCUAGCUGUGGACCUGCGAGAGAGAGAAGUUAUGGCUGGCGCUAGAGCAGUCAUCUUGGACCAUGAGGCAGAAGCCGUGUGUUGAAGAUGAAGGAGGCAUAGAGAAGGCACCUGGUUUGUCUAUACCAAGGCCAAAAUCACACUGUCCUAAUUACUGUAGCUUUAAAAUAAAUCAUGAUAUCUGCUG